rnacentral:lncRNA from 1 species
GAUGAGUUUAGCAGAGUCCAUGGAGGAACAUCCAUCAAUGGAAGGCGAAGAGCAGCAGUAGGAUGGUACAGAUGCCAAUGAUGCUGCCCAAGAUGAAUGAAUCCCGUCGUUUCCGAAGGUUGAUCCUCUGAAUCAGGCUGUUCACUGCUGGGAACCGAUUGGCCAAGGUAUUCAUCUUGCUCUGUAUUGACUUCAACAUCCCUCUCUGCGAAGUCAUAUUUUCUUUCGUUGCCAUGGCAAUGCUUAUUGUUUCUUCUAUCAGUCGAUCUGAGUUCCGAAGGUGCUCGUGUUCCUUCAGGAAGAGUUCUGUUCUUCUGUUAUUCACACCAGACCCACUUUUAUAUGAUUCAAUAUCUUUUCGUACUGAUCCCAACAGAUUCUCC